rnacentral:rRNA from 1 species
GUCUACGGCAAUACGACCGUGAACGCACCCGAUACCGUCUGAUCUCAGAAGCUAAGCAGGGUGGGGCCUGGUUAGUACUUGGAUGGGACAAACAACUCAACUGACCAUCAGUGGACA